ACAGUGAUCACUUAAAUCAUUAAUACUUUUUGCUGUUUACCCAGCUGAGGGUGUCUUUGCAGAAAUAAUUUUAAGACUGAGAU